GGUGCCAACAGCGGAUGGAGCGCCAUUAGGGCUGUGACGAAGCUGCAGCCUAGACAGUUCAUGAACAGGAGAGGAGGUUUUAUGGCUGUUGCCGGUGGAAAGGAACGGAUUGCUCGAUAUAGAAGAAUUCAAGGUCAAUACUGAAGGACUUAGCCGUUUGAAAUUCAUUGGCAGCAUAAUAGUUGAAAGCCUUCGAGUUUACAUUCUUCAAAUUCAGCACGGAGAAUGAAGUUUCAUUUUCGGCCUUUUAUACCUGAUCUUGAAAUGUGGUUCCAGUUAUGUUGA